rnacentral:rRNA from 1 species
AUUGAACGCUGGCGGCAGGCCUAACACAUGCAAGUCGAGCGGAUGAAGGGGGCUUGCUCCUGGAUUCAGCGGCGGACGGGUGAGUAAUGCCUAGGAAUCUGCCUGGUAGUGGGGGAUAACGUCCGGAAACGGGCGCUAAUACCGCAUACGUCCUGAGGGAGAAAGUGGGGGAUCUUCGGACCUCACGCUAUCAGAUGAGCCUAGGUCGGAUUAGCUAGUUGGUGGGGUAAAGGCCUACCAAGGCGACGAUCCGUAACUGGUCUGAGAGGAUGAUCAGUCACACUGGAACUGAGACACGGUCCAGACUCCUACGGGAGGCAGCAGUGGGGAAUAUUGGACAAUGGGCGAAAGCCUGAUCCAGCCAUGCCGCGUGUGUGAAGAAGGUCUUCGGAUUGUAAAGCACUUUAAGUUGGGAGGAAGGGCAGCAAGUUAAUACCUUGCUGUUUUGACGUUACCAACAGAAUAAGCACCGGCUAACUUCGUG